UACAGAGGCCUCGAGCGUUAGGCGGAAUCACUGGGCUUAAAGCGUGUGUAGGCGGAUUGGUAAGUACCUUGUGAAAUCCCACAGCUUAACUGUGGAACUGCUCGGUAUACUGCUGAUCUUGAGCCACUCAGGGGCUACCGGAACAAAUGGUGGAGCGGUGAAAUGCGUAGAUAUCAUUUGGAACGCCAAUGGUGAAAAACAGGUAGCUGGGGGGUGUGCUGGACGCUGAGACACGAAAGCCAGGGGAGCAAACGGG
rnacentral:rRNA from 1 species